GUCUUUAUGAGUUUGUAUAAAGUCGGUUCUGCUCAAUGAAUUUUAAAUAGCUGCGGUAAAUUGACUGUACUAAGGUAGCAUAAUAAUUAGUUUAUUAAUUGUAAACUUGAAUGAAUGAGUUGAUGUAAAAUUAUCUGUCUUUAAUAUUUCAUAUUGAAUUUAAUUUAUAGGUAAAAAAGCUUAUUGAUUUUAAAGGGACAAGAAGACCCUAUAGAAUUUUAUAACUUUUGUUGAUAGAUAUUAAUUUAUAGUUAUUUGGUUGGGGUGACUAGAAUAAUAAUUUAACUUUUUUUUUUUUUACAUUAAUAUAUGGGAAUAUUGAACUAUUUUUUUUUAAUUUAAGAAAAAUUACCUUAGGGAUAACAGGAUAAUUUAUUUGGAGAGUUCUUAUUGAUAUUUAAGUUUAUUACCUCGAUGUUGAAUUAAGAUUAUAUUGGAAGUAGAGGUUUAAUAAUUUAGGUCUGUUCGACCUUUAAAAUCUUACA
rnacentral:rRNA from 1 species